rnacentral:rRNA from 1 species
UACGUAGGGGGCAAGCGUUGCUCGGAAUCACUGGGCGUAAAGCGUACGCAGGCGGCUCGUUAAGUCGGGUGUGAAAGCCCGGGGCUCAACCCCGGAAUUGCAUUCGAUACUGGCGAGCUUGAAUACGGAAGAGGGUCGCGGAAUUCCCGGUGUAGAGGUGAAAUUCGUAGAUAUCGGGAGGAACACCGGUGGCGAAGGCGGCGACCUGGGUCGAGACUGACGCUGAGGCGCGAAAGCGUGGGGAGCAAACAGG